rnacentral:rRNA from 1 species
GACGAACGCUGGCGGCGUGCUUAACACAUGCAAGUCGAGCGGUAAGGCCCUUCGGGGUACACGAGCGGCGAACGGGUGAGUAACACGUGGGUGACCUGCCUCUAGCUCUGGGAUAAGCCUGGGAAACUGGGGUCUAAUACCGGAUAUGACUCCACGGCGCAUGUUGUGGGGUGGAAAGCCUUGUGUGGCUAGAGAUGGGCCCGCGGCCUAUCAGCUUGUUGGUGGGGUGAUGGCCUACCAAGGCGACGACGGGUAGCCGGCCUGAGAGGGCGACCGGCCACACUGGGACUGAGACACGGCCCAGACUCCUACGGGAGGCAGCAGUGGGGAAUCUUGCGCAAUGGGCGAAAAGCCUGACGCAGCGACGCCGCGUGAGGGAUGAACGGCCU